UGUCAAAACGUUCAAUCUGUGAGAGUGCAGCUUUAAGGAGAUGCAACCAUAAAGGAUUCCACAUACUUUCUUCAACUUGGAUGAAGAUGUUCCAAUCCAGUGUCCACCAUGUAUACCGGUAGUAGAUAUUCACCCGGGCUGAAAUUGUACGGCCAGACCUAUGUGUCUGACGUCAUCCCCCAAGGCUGGGAAGCUCAAAGAAUCCAUUCUGAUCAACAGGGAGUUCAUCAAGGCUGGUGACUUCUUCCUUGGUAAGAUGAGGCUUAACUGCAAUUGCCACCCCACGUUCGACACUUCAAAGCGGCUCCAACACCUCUAAAGAGCCCAGCGUCGGUUUGUUGAUGGCACAUUGAGGUUGUUCUACCAGCUGAUGAUCAACCAUCGCAGCUGAUGAUCAACCAUCGCAGCUGAUGAUCAACCAUCGCAGCUGAUGAUCAACCAUCGCAGCUGAUGAUCAACCAUCGCAGCUGAUGAUCAACCAUCGCAGUCUUAUUUCAAGAAAGAUGAAAUUGUGAUGCAGAUCCUGUCCCUCUUCUUCCUGACGUCAAGACAACAGAAGAGGGACUAUGUAGCUCUACCUGAGACAGGCCAUUCCAUGGGUCUGCCGCAAGCCCCUAUCUGUACAUGCAUCUCCAACUGGACUCAGCCCAUUUAUUAUAUGGUUACAGGUUUGAUCCCCAUUAGGGGUACUUUCUCACGACUUCUCAAAAUGGAAACCAGUAUUGGUUUGUAAGCAAGAAACAGACUCAAGAGUGUACUUAUAAGCUAUUGGCUUUCGUCACAAUAGAGCUAAAUGAAAUAGGACUAUUUUGAGACUGCACAAUACUGUUGCCCUUGGAGACAGUGUGUACAGGACAUUUCUAAAAAUAGACUCCAGCAAGCCAACCAGACACAAUCAAACUGGUGAAAAAAACAUAGUGUCAGAAGAAUUCCCAUGCUGAUAGUAGAGAGAGACGGGUCAUGCAAUCAUAGAAGUGAAUGUCACACGUGUUUCUAGAGUAGCAGACAAUUCAGCCGAUACAUCUGUAGAUUUCUCCCUGGCUGAGUCACACCCCAGAAAGGCAGCACCUUCCUUGGUGUUUGGGCCUAGAGGUUUGCACAGUGUCUGCAAUCAGUGACGUCAGUGUUGAAGAUGUACUUUACCAGCAAUGGAAACCUUUAACUGAGAAGAACAUUGAUUGAUUUUGUUCAUUUGCAUACCAUAAAACUUUGUUAAUUUCUGUUCUGAUCUGUGCCAGUUAUUGUCAACUGUAAAUGUAUGUUGUGGUUGUUUUCAAUUUUGUUGCAAUGUUAAUUAUUAACAUUUAAAAUGUUUGUAUACACCAGUCCCUGAGUAUAAUGCUUGCAAUACAAUCCUCUCCAAUGGGUUUUGUUGCCCCUAUAGUAACAAUAGUUUUAAAUGAUUUGCACACAUAGUUUUCUUAUUGGCCCCUAAACAUGUUUAAUAUACCUAGCUUGCAUACUUCUUGAGUUAUAUGAGGAUCCAUUUUUCCAAAUGGACGGAAGACAUUCACACAAUUGUGCCAUAACAAUCACAUCUUUAUGAUUAAAAACAGACGUGGCAUUUCUACCAAGUUUUAUGAAUGUAUUUCUUUCAUACCAAGACACUAUCAAAAAGUGUUAUAUUCACCAUUUUAGGUGCCAUAGCAACCAAAGUUUUUUGUUGGCCGAAAAAUACAAAGUGACAUGUAAAUACCACAUACAUGUACCAAGUUUCAUUCACCUAGCUUGCCUUUUUUUGUGUUAUUGCAGCGUGAAG